AUAGAAAUUAAAUUAAAACGUUUAUCUACAAAUUAUCUUCUUGUAAUCUGUCUCUCUUGAAAAUUUUUGAACUAAAUUCUUUGAUCCUAGUAUCAAGAUGUGUUAGUGAUAAUAUAGUUUUAGACAUUCUAAGGAUCCUUUCACACUGCCUUAGACUGAAGACAACAACCAAAGACAAAGACUACUUAUGUUCACUUAUCGCUUAACUGUUCACAUCAGUUCGAAAAAGACUACAAUAAUUUAUGUCGAGCGUGUGCAAACGUUUGUUUUAAUAGUCAGCAAAUAUGGAUCCACUUGCGCUAGCGUUAGUCCGUCGACUAAAAAAAUUAUAAAAUUGUUAAUCCUGAUAAUCUUUACGAGAAGCAUCAUACAGCCAAGAUCUCUCUCGUAUGGCCGAAAUCAAAAUUUCCUCCUUUUACUUUAUAAAAAAUGCUUCUUCUUGAUCUCGAAGUAGAACGACAACGACUAAACCUUGAAUCUUGGUCAGGAUCAUCGACCGUUCCAGG
rnacentral:lncRNA from 1 species